GGGUAGGAGUGAAAGGCCAAUCAAACUUGGAGAUAGCUCGUACUCCCCGAAAUGCAUUUAGGUGCAGCCUCGAAGCAGAGUGAUAGAGGUAGAGCGACUGAUAAGAUGCGAGGGCUUCACCGCCUAUCAAGUCUUGAUAAACUCCGAAUGCGCAUUAGUUCUAUCACAGGAGUGAGGGCAUGGGUGCUAAGGUCCAUGUCCUAAAGGAGAAGAAUCCGGACCAUCAGCUAAGGUCCCGAAAUAGAUACUAAGUUGAACUAACGAAGUCAGAUUGCUAAGACAGCUAGGAUGUUGGCUUGGAAGCAGCCAUUCAUUUAAAGAGUGCGUAACAGCUCACUAGUCGAGGAGUUUGGCGUGGAUAAUAAUCGGGCAUUAAGUAUCUUACCGAAGCUAUGGGAUCAUUAAUGAUCGGUAGGGGAGCAUUCCACUCCGCGUCGAAGGUGAAGCGUGAGCUUUGCUGGAGCGUGUGGAAAAGCAAAUGUAGGUAUAAGUAACGAUAAAGGGGGUGAGAAACCCCCUCGCCGAAAGACUAAGGUUUCCUGAUCAACGCUAAUCGGAUCAGGGUUAGUCGGGUCCUAAGGCUCAGCCGAACGGUGAGGCCGAUGGCAGAACAGGUUAAUAUUCCUGUACUACCUUAAGGAGUGACGUGGAGACGGAGUCGUGACAACGCCGCGGACUGACGGAAUAGUCCGUUGAAGGGUGUAGAUGUUGAUUGUGGCAGGCAAAUCCACCACGAGAGUCGAACCUGAUAGUAUACCAAUUCCUUCGGGAAACGGUAAUAGUGCGUGUAAACAUACUCCCGAGAAAAUCCGCUAAACUUAAUCCUUGAGGUACCCGUACCGCAAACGGACACACGUAGUCGGGUUGAAUAUACUAAGGCGCUUGAGUGAUUCACGGUUAAGGAACUAGGCAAAUUGACCCUGUAACUUCGGGAUAAAGGGUCCCAACGAGAGUUGGGCGCAGAGAAUAGGUCCAGGCAACUGUUUAACAAAAACACAGGGCUGUGCCAAAUUGAAAGAUCACGUAUACAGCCUGACACCUGCCCGGUGCUGGAAGGUUAAGAGGAGAUGUCAUCGCAAGAGAAGCAUUGAAUUGAAGCCCCAGUAAACGGCGGCCGUAACUAUAACGGUCCUAAGGUAGCGAAAUUCCUUGUCGGGUAAGUUCCGACCUGCACGAAUGGUGUAAUGAUCUGGACACUGUCUCAACCGUGAGCUCAGUGAAAUUGUAGUAUCGGUGAAGAUGCCGAUUACCCGCGAUGGGACGAAAAGACCCCGUGAACCUUUACUAUAGCUUAACAUUGAAUUUGGGUAAUUGAUGUGUAGGAUAGGCCGGAGACUUUGAAGCGCAGACGCCAGUUUGUGUGGAGUCGCUGUUGAAAUACGGCCCUUUGAUUAUUUGAGUUCUAACCCGUUGUAACGGGGACACUGUUUGGUGGGUAGUUUGACUGGGGUGGUCGCCUCCAAAAGUGUAACGGAGGCUUCUAAAGGUGCCCUCAGGACGAUUGGUAACCGUCCGUAGAGUGUAAUGGCAUAAGGGCGCUUGACUGGGAGACAGACAAGUCGAUCAGGUAGGAAA
rnacentral:rRNA from 1 species